AUUGAACGCUGGCGGCAUGCCUUACACAUGCAAGUCGAACGGCAGCGGACCUUCGGGUGCCGGCGAGUGGCGAACGGGUGAGUAAUGCAUCGGAACGUACCUUUCAGUGGGGGAUAACGUAGCGAAAGUUACGCUAAUACCACAUAUUCUGUGAGCAGGAAAGCAGGGGAUCGCAAGACCUUGCGCUUAUUGAGCGGCCGAUGUCAGAUUAGCUAGUUGGUGAGGUAAAGGCUCACCAAGGCGACGAUCUGUAGCGGGUCUGAGAGGAUGAUCCGCCACACUGGAACUGAGACACGGUCCAGACUCCUACGGGAGGCAGCAGUGGGGAAUUUUGGACAAUGGGGGCAACCCUGAUCCAGCCAUGCCGCGUGAGUGAAGAAGGCCUUCGGGUUGUAAAGCUCUUUCGGCCGGGAAGAAAUCGCACGGGCUAAUACCCUGUGUGGAUGACGGUACCGGAAUAAGAAGCACCGGCUAACUACGUACCAGCCGCCGCUGUAA
rnacentral:rRNA from 1 species